UACGUAGGGGGCAAGCGUUGUCCGGAUUUAUUGGGCGUAAAGAGCGUGUAGGCGGCCAAACAGGUCAGCUGUGAAAACUCGAGGCUCAACCUCGAGACGUCGGUUGAAACCGUUUGGCUAGAGUCCGGAAGAGGAGAGUGGAAUUCCCGGUGUAGCGGUGAAAUGCGCAGAUAUCGGGAAGAACACCCGUGGCGAAGGCGGCUCUCUGGGACGGUACUGACGCUGAGACGCGAAAGCUAGGGGAGCAAACAGG
rnacentral:rRNA from 1 species